rnacentral:piRNA from 1 species
UGGGUGUUCUCUGUUGCUUCAAGAGUUC